AUAUUUCGCUUGGAAUAUGUAAGUUAACUCGUUAUGCAAUGUUAUGCUAGAAUCUGUUGACAGCAAAACAAACACUGCUAGAUCAAAACAAACCGCAAAAUGGAACAGUGUUUUGUUAUUUCCAAUCAUCAACAGUUGAAUAAUCUAUAAAAUCCAACAGCACAGCGUCUGAUUUGUACGACUUAUCGUCUGAUCAUCAUGUCCAAAGUUCGCAACCAAAUGGCCAAAAAUAAGAUCAAUCAAUGGGACCAACAGGACCGACUGAAUUGCGAAAUGAAUUUUACUUGGAAUUGCAAGAGCAGUGGGUGUUGCAGGAACAAAAUCUGGAAAAAGACAGCUACCGGAGGCAGUUUUGUUAAUCAGCAACACAAACAGCUCAGCUACAGAUCUGGUUAUGUUUUAAAUGUAUCGGAGUCCUAGAACGCAGCUGAAUGAUCGGAUUUACGAGCUGAAAUAGUGAUGCUAAAAUCUAGUGACCAAAUUUUUUUCCGGAAUCAGCGGUUAACCAUUUGAAAUUUAGCCUUAAACCUGAAGGAAAACGUAUGUUUCUAUCGCGUCUACAGGUAAAAAUCUUGAAACCACAGAACGCAGAAAGAACGUAUCAUGCGGUUUUCGGCUAGUUGCAGCUGCGGAAACAAACCGUUCCAAUCACAAUUUUCAUCGAUGAAGGCUUUCUAAAAGCUAAAUACGAAAAUUUAUUAGUGUGCAUCCCAAUUGAAUAAGAUAAAGAAAAAUUUGUAGCUGAUCCAGAAUAGUUGUAGUGCGAUGCGAAAAGCGAUUCUUUUUUAACUACUAUUACGAUAGUUCAAAAUAAUGCACUGGUUGUACAAACUGAGAGCAACUGAAACUAAUAUUUUCACAAACUAGUAUGUAGUUUUAUAGAUUUUAGAUACUUAAUAGAUAUAGAUACUUAAUGAACCCAUAACAGAAGAUACAAAUAACAAUGAAUGUGCACAAUUGUCAAAUACGUCUUUGGCAAAGUAAAGUUUUAAUCGUAUUGAGUGUGAUUGUCGAUAUAUCAAUAUAAACCAAUAUGAACUUAGCAAAAUAAUUUAUUCGAAACUACUAAUUUGAAACCAUCUCCUUCACUAUGAAUGUUCUUGAAUAAUUCAUUCUUUCCGUUCUUAUAAUUUUUAUUUUUGAUGAAUGAAGGAAGUAUAUAAACGUAAAAGCAGAAAAACGCAGUUUAACAUUUUAAAAAAUUAAAUAAAAAUAAUAAUGGAAUAUAUUUUGUACCAAAGUUGCAUCUUAAAUUGCACUGCCCACGAUGUAAACAAGCUGUCAAAUAUUGAAUCGAAUGAUUUCCUAAGUUUUCAUGAACAAGAAUAUUUCGAUAGUUUUCAGGAAGUCUAAUUAUAGUUUAAAUAAAGAAAAAAUUUAAAGAAAUUUUUAACUUAAAUGACAUCUCAUGCUUAUUUGUCUAAUAUGCAAAUUUAAACUGGAUUUUUAUAUAUAAGAAAAGAGACAUAAUGAAACACAUUUUACUUGACUUGGCAAUAAAUUCUGAUGCAAAAUGUUCAACAGCAGAAAACGAAUAUAUUUUUUCAACAAUUAUUUUAAAUCUAUACAAUUUGUCCAUAUCAGACAUCCUCGACAUUUGGAAAUUCUUUUACAUUUUAUUCACGUAUCAAACAAAAUACGACAUUUAUUACCACUCUUCAUCGAGGUGGUCCUUGGUAAAUCUAAGUAAAUUUAUUCAAUAAUUCACUCCAGUCAACAACUUUGAAAAUAUUCUAAAAAAAACAAAACAUGACCCACUGGGUAUAUCAACCAGCAAGUAAAAUAAAUAUGAAACGUUUAUUAAAAACGUUGUUUCUAGUCUAAAUUUACAUCGAUUGCAAUGUAAAAUUUCUAUAUAAAUAACAGAUCGACCGAUGUGAAAUCAUAUUCAUCAAACAUCCUCAUGGCUUGUGAUUUUACAAGUCACGAUCACAAAACAUAAAUUUGUGGUUAAAGCGAUGGUACAGUUAUU